rnacentral:rRNA from 1 species
GAUAAACGCUGGCGGCGUGCCUAACACAUGCAAGUCGAACGUCCUGUUCUCUCUUCGGAGAGAAGAGGGAGUGGCGCACGGGUGAGUAAGACGUGGGAACCUGCCCUCGGGUGAGGAAUACCACCGGGAAACCGGUGACAAGACCGCAUACGUUCCCCUUUGGGGGAGCAAAGCUUCUCGCACGAGAGGUGCCCGGGGAGGGGCCUGCGGCCGAUUAGCUAGCUGGUGGGGUAAGAGCCUACCAGGGCGACGAUCGGUAGCUGGUCUGAGAGGACGA